rnacentral:rRNA from 1 species
AAAGGGAGCGUAGGCGGACUGUUAAGUUAGAGGUGAAAGCCCAGGGCUCAACCUUGGAAUUGCCUUUGAUACUGGCAGUCUUGAGUACGGAAGAGGUAUGUGGAACUCCGAGUGUAGAGGUGAAAUUCGUAGAUAUUCGGAAGAACACCAGUGGCGAAGGCGACAUACUGGUCCGUUACUGACGCUGAGGCUCGAAAGCGUGGGGAGCAAACAGGAUUAGAUACCCCUGU